rnacentral:rRNA from 1 species
CCUACGGGUGGCAGCAGUGGGGAAUAUUGGGCAAUGGGCGCAAGCCUGAACCAGCAACGCCGCGUGAAGGAAGAAGGCUUUCGGGUUGUAAACUUCUUUUCUCCGGGACGAAAAUAGUGACAGUACCUGAGGAAUAAGCCACGGCCAACUACGUGCCAGCAGCCGCGGUAAUACGUAGGUGGCAAGCGUUCUCCGGAUUUCCUUGGGGUAAAGGGCGUGUAGGCGGGAAAGCAAGUCAGAUGUGAAAACCAUGGGCUCAAACGUUGGCCUGCAUUUGAAACUGUUUUUCUUGAGUACUGGAGAGGCAGAGGGAAUUCUUGGUGUAGGGGUGAAAUGCGUAGAGAUUAGGAGGAACACCAGUGGCGAAGGCGAUCUGCUGGACAGCAACUGACGCUGAUGCGCGAAAGCGUGGGGAGCAAACAGGAUUAGAUACCCGAGUAGUC